rnacentral:lncRNA from 1 species
GGGGGACGAGCGAUUGGAAUUGGCUGUUAUGCUACCCAGUCCAAGCGCUAAUGGAUGACGAAUGACAAAGAGGAUUUCUGUUUUUGGGCCUCAUCAUUUUUUCAGAAGCUUGUACAUGUGAAAAUGUCGUGUCUUCUGUAGACUGCCUUGUGUGCAUGAGGUGGUUAUCUUUAUAGCAGAAUCUAGGAAUUUGUUUUGAGUUAAUGACUACAAAACUGAUUUCAAAACUCAAAUGGAACAAAUAAGUCAAUGCCGUCAAGCUAUUGUGACACAUUAAUUUCUACUAGCUUUAUGGCAAAUAAACAGUUUUAAAUUUUACACAAUAACAUCAUCA